rnacentral:rRNA from 1 species
UACAGAGGAGCCAAGCGUUGUCCGGAUUGACUGGGCGUAAAGCGCACGCAGGCGGUCGGGCGCGUGGGGUGUGAAAUCUGGCCGCUUAACGGCCAGGCGCCAUCCCAUACGGCUCGACUGGAGUGAUGCAGAGGUCGAUGGAAUUGCCGGUGUAGUGGUGAAAUGCGUAGAGAUCGGCAGGAACACCCAGGGGGAAACCAGUCGACUGGGCAUCUACUGACGCUGAGGUGCGAGAGCGUGGGGAGCGAACAGG